rnacentral:rRNA from 1 species
GACGAACGCUGGCGGCGUGCCUAAUACAUGCAAGUCGAGCGGAAGUUGGAGAGCUUGCUCUUCAACUUUAGCGGCGGACGGGUGAGUAACACGUGGGCAACCUGCCCUGCAGAUCGGGAUAACUCCGGGAAACCGGUGCUAAUACCGAAUAGUUUUCGCCACCUCCUGGUGGCGUACGGAAAGACGGUUUCGGCUGUCACUGCAGGAUGGGCCCGCGGCGCAUUAGCUAGUUGGUGGGGUAACGGCCCACCAAGGCGACGAUGCGUAGCCGACCUGGGAGGGUGAGCGGCCACACUGGGACUGAGACACGGCCCAGACUCCUACGGGAGGCAGCAGUAGGGAAUCUUCCGCAAUGGACGAAAGUCUGACGGAGCAACGCCGCGUGAGUGACGAAGGUUUUCGGAUCGUAAAACUCUGUUGUGAGGGAAGAACAAGUACCACUUAACUACUGGUACCUUGACGGUACCUCACCAGAAAGCCACGGCUAACUACGUGCCAGCAGCCGCCGUAA